GUGUCAGCAGCCGCGGUAAUACGUAGGCAGCAAGCGUUGUUCGGAAUUACUGGGCGUAAAGCGUGCGUAGGCGGUGCCUCAAGUUUGGUGUGAAAUCUCCCGGCUCAACCGGGAGGGUGCGCCGAAAACUGAGGUGCUCGAGUGUGGGAGAGGUAGGCGGAAUUCCUGGUGUAGCGGUGAAAUGCGUAGAUAUCAGGAGGAACACCGGCGGUGUAGACGGCUUACUGGACCAUAACUGACGCUGAGGCACGAAAGUGUGGGGAGCAAACAGGAUUAGAAACCCUCGUAGUCC
rnacentral:rRNA from 1 species